UUGAUUUAAAUAUUAUAAAAAUAGUAAACUAAGAUUCAUUUAUAUGAUAAUAUUUUUAUUUUUAAAAUAAUAUCUUUUAUUUAAUAUGUCAAAGUUGGGUGCGGCUCUCUUUAAUGUCGUCAGCCGACGGUCGACCGCUGAGACUGCCACCGAGGCAAACACCAGUCUUCACUCCCGCGAAGUUCCUCGGAGCGAGGAAGGGAGGAGUUCGCCGGCGAUGGAGAAGAAUGUGGUGAUGAUCUGUGCAGCCGUGAGCUUCCUUGGCCUUCUCUCUGCUACGCUCGGCUUCGCUGCUGAGGCCACAAGGAUCAGGACCGAUGAAGGUUUUGGGUUUUCUUCACCUGACCUACCAUGUGGAAUCGGUUGCUCUGCCGCUCCACUGGAAAGCCAUCAUCUAUCGCGUUAGGGUUUUAUAGGGUUUUAAAGACGGGAUCUCGUUGAUUACGAGGCAUCUUUACUGUUUUCCGUGGUAAAGGUCUGAUCUUUGAAUUCCUGGUUGUCUUUCUUUCUUCGGUAAGGGUGGACUAGAAUUACUAUUGAUUGCUAUCAGUUGUCAGGUUUUGUCGGUAAGGCCCGUUGAUUUCUCUUGAUUCACCUACCAUUCGUCCUAUAAUGAAGUCAUCAUCUUGGAACCGGCUUCAGGGAUAAUUUUUUUUUUUUUCUAUCGCAUUAGGGUUUGUAGUAUUUAAAGAUUGGAUCUUUUUAAUUGGCCAUGAGGAAGUCGUGUCAGGUCAAGCUUGCACUUGGUCUAGAACACGUUCAUCAAGCCAUGGGACUGUUGCAAUCUUGGUUAGAGGUUGAUGUCUUUACCUUCAAUCUCUAUUUGCAGGUUUCUGAUGUGCAAACAUCAACACUAGGUCAAUGCACAUAUCCAAGGAGCCCAUCAUUAGCUCUGGGUCUUAUAGCUGCAGUGGCUCUUAUGAUAGCUCAGGCCAUCAUAAGCACCGUAGCUGGGUGUAUAUGUUGCAAGAAAUAUCCAAAUCCAUCUGACACCAACUGGACAAUUGGGAUGAUCGCCUUUGUUGCUUCUCGGUAACUUACGUACUUUCUGUUACAUGGGUGUAUUUACCUAUAUGACAAUCUUAUUGAGCCACCCUUUAUUAUUGGCAAUAGAAUUUGGACAUGGAACUAUAAGCAAGCUACUUGUUUCUGUCAAUUGAUAAUCCAGUAUUGAUUCUUUCUAGUGGUUGUAUGUGUUAUGCACUUUUUGUUUUGGUCCAUCUUUUGCCGUUUUACAAGAUGAAACAUUGUCGUGCUUUUGGAGAACUUGGGGCCUGAUGAGAUAUUAAGGAUCCCUGCUUCAAGUUCUACAUGUGUACGAGAAAAUAUUCUAACACCCAUCUUUCUGAAGGGUAUUGUAUACAGCUUAUGCUCCCUUUUCCAAAGAUUCUGUAGUUCAGAUUUGCUUCUUGUAAGCAACUGCAAGGAUUACCACCUCAUCCUUAUGGUUUUUCAUGAAUAUGACCUUUUUCUCUAUAUUUCUUGCAGGCACAUGAAAUAUCUCUAUUGUGAACCAUAAUUGUGCCCUGUGAUAAACUUUACCUCCACAUUAUAUUAAUAGUUCAAACUCGGCAAUCCUUACCCGCAGGCAUUAAUUGCUCUUGUUUGAUGUCUUGAUCAAUUAUUUUAUAUUAAUUACUUCUCAAGUCAAUUUAAACAGUAGCUUUUAUAACUAAUAUACUAACCUUACUCAGAACAAAAACAAUGGUGAGAAUUAUUUAGGUUCACUAAUUGGACCCUUUCUCAUCAUUGAGCUGUACAGAGGAUGAUAUCAUCAAGUAAAUGAAGAACCAACAAGUUCUAUAUUAUUUUCUAUCACAGUAUUGAAGGGAUCAAGAAAAAUGUAUCAAAGGAAGAAGGCAGGUCAUAGUUCAUCAAUUCACAUGGUGAGGAAACAUUGGCUUAUGGUGAUCAGACGUGAUGCCAACAACUAAGAUUAGACGUUCAAGAGGUUGUGGGAGAUGAUUAUCAAGCAUUGGAAGUUGGAACAAGACUGAUUGUUUGUUCGUGAAAGGAAGAUGCAGAAAAAAAGAGCUAUGGUUGGCAGCAAUGUUGUAAAGAUUAUAUUGGUAUCCCUUAUUAAAUCCUUAGAUAAGCAUAAAAGUAUUCUAAUUGGUUUGUUCUUGAAGAAGGAAUUGAAAGAUUGCUGGUCGCUUCAAAGGUUUUGAACAAUCAUGUACAGUCCAUCCCGUGAGAUUAACUAAUCCAUAUUUUUUCUAGUUGGGUCAGAUUAAUGAGGAGAAAUCACAUAUGUCGAACUCGAAAUGCAACAAAAUUCUUCAGAUCCACAAAACUGUUCUUAACUUCAUAUGUUGGCCGUCUUCUUGGGAGCAGACAUAUUAAUUUGUCAAACGGUGACUUUUAUUAUAGCCCUUGUUCUGUUGUUGGGUGGUGCUGCCCUAAACGAUAAAUGGGGGCAGGAAAGGGUGUACUUUGGCAAAUACUGCUACGUCAUCGAGUCUGGGGUAUUUACAGGAGGUGCAGUGUUA